CAGAAGAAACAGAGAAGCAGGGUUCUACCUCUAUACUAGGUUUUGGUUCCAUUUUCAGAGAAAAAAAUAAUCUUCCAUUUUUCAGAUGAGGAAAAAGAUGCACAAACAAGUUCACCAUCCUGGUCAAGACUGUUAGUAAGCUGAAGAGCCUGGAUUUGAACCCAAAGAGUGUGGAAGCAGAGCUCAGGAUCGAGAAGCAGAUCCUAUCUGCAAUCCCUUUCAGGGGAUCAAAAGCAUGGAGGGAUUAUCCUCCUAGGCAACCUGCCUGAAGUAAGGGUUUGGAGCACAACUGCCGCAGAACAGGGCUGGCUGCCUCCUACCCUAAAUUCUGUGCCGUUUCCUGUGAAUGGAGGACCGGACACCACUCUACGCCGGGGCCUCCCUGUUCUCCAGAGGUGAAAUCUAGGAAGGAUGAACAAUUGCUGGAUACUCAAGGUAGGGAGGCCGGUAUGAAAAAGAAGUUCAAGAAAGUGAAGUAAGGUGUACCAAGCUUGAUCAAGAAG